UAGAGUUUGAUCAUGGCUCAGAUUGAACGCUGGCGGCAGGCCUAACACAUGCAAGUCGAGCGGCAGCGACUUAACUGAACCUUCGGGGAACGUUAAGGGCGGCGAGCGGCGGACGGGUGAGUAAUGCCUGGGAAUAUGCCCUGAUGUGGGGGAUAACUAUUGGAAACGAUAGCUAAUACCGCAUAAUCUCUUCGGAGCAAAGAGGGGGACCUUCGGGCCUCUCGCGUCAGGAUUAGCCCAGGUGGGAUUAGCUUGUUGGUGAGGUAAUGGCUCACCAAGGCAACGAUCCCUAGCUGGUCUGAGAGGAUGAUCAGCCACACUGGAACUGAGACACGGUCCAGACUCCUACGGGAGGCAGCAGUGGGGAAUAUUGCACAAUGGGGGAAACCCUGAUGCAGCCAUGCCGCGUGUGUGAAGAAGGCCUUCGGGUUGUAAAGCACUUUCAGUAGGGAGGAAGGUAGUGUAGUUAACACCUGCAUUAUUUGACGUUACCUACAAAANAAGCACCGGCUAACUCCGUGCCAGCAGCCGCGGUAAUACGGAGGGUGCGAGCGUUAAUCGGAAUUACUG
rnacentral:rRNA from 1 species